UCCUCCGUGGCGCAAUUGGCUAGCGCGUCGUAAGUUCAAUCCGACAUCUGCACAACCAGCAACGUUUAAUCUAACUAAAUCUGCAGUGACUGUUAAUCAGGAGGUUGAAAGUUCGAGCCUUUCCGGGGGAG
rnacentral:tRNA from 1 species